GAUGAACGCUGGCGGCGUGCCUAAUACAUGCAAGUCGAGCGAACGGACGAGAAGCUUGCUUCUCUGAUGUUAGCGGCGGACGGGUGAGUAACACGUGGAUAACCUACCUAUAAGACUGGGAUAACUUCGGGAAACCGGAGCUAAUACCGGAUGAUAUUUUGAACCGCAUGGUUCAAAAGUGAAAGACGGUCUUGCUGUCACUUAUAGAUGGAUCCGCGCUGCAUUAGCUAGUUGGUAAGGUAACGGCUUACCGAGGCAACGAUGCAUAGCCGACCUGAGAGGGUGAUCGGUCACACUGGAACUGAGACACGGUCCAGACUCCUACGGGAGGCAGCAGUAGGGAAUCUUCCGCAAUGGGCGAAAGCCUGACGGAGCAACGCCGCGUGAGUGAUGAAGGUCUUCGGAUCGUAAAACUCUGUUAUUAGGGAAGAACAUAUGUGUAAGUAACUGUGCACAUCUUGACGGUACCUAAUCAGAAAGCCACGGCUAACUACGUG
rnacentral:rRNA from 1 species